UAGCAGGGAUGUGUUGAAUAUGAUCCUUGACCACAGGUCUUCCUGGCUUUGUGGCUCUGAUUUCUAUUCACACCUUGCUACCUCAUUUCAUUUUUGAAUAUCUCUAAUUAUUAGAAAGUUUUGUUAUAUCAAAGUUAAGGAGGUGACCUUUUUUGUCACUUCCAUUCACUGUACCUAAUUCUAUUCUCUGGGACCUACCAGAACAAAAAAAACUCAUCUCUUUCUCACAUGAUAGCAUUCAAAUACCUGAAGACAACUGUCAUGUCACCACUGAGUUUUGUGUUUUACAUGCCAUGGUUUAGGAAGGAUUGUGAUAAGCUGGAGGGCAUUCAGAAGAUAGCAACCAGAGGAGAAAGUCUAUGAAUCUGAGCUAUUUAAGGAUUAGUUGAAGGAAACAGAUUGAGAUGCUGAAUGUGGAAGAGAGAGGACUGAGGAAGAUAUGAUAGCAAUCAGUAUAGUGCAGUGAUGGUUAACCUUUUAGAGACCACAUGUCAUGACCCCUCCAUCCCCAGAGACUGUGUACUGUGCUGUGCCCCACCCCCAGAGACCUCACACCAUGUAUCACACCUGUACCCCAGAUGGGGAAGGAAGCUCUCCCAUUGGGCUGCUGGACAGAGAGGCAGAUGGACUGAGGACAUUCAUGGAGAGGGGUGUUUACCAGCUCAACUAUAGCACCAAGAACUGAAGAAAAUCGUCAAGAUGUGGUCUGAUUAGGGCAGAGCACAACAGGAUUAUCACCUUCUUAUUCCUAGAAACUAUGCCCCUCAGUAAAUACAAGAGGGUAUUAGCUCUCUUUUAUAGGUUUUUACACUGUUAAUUCCUAUUAAGUUUGCAGUCCGCUAAAAUCUCCACAUCAUUUUCAGACAAAUAGUCAAUAGAUAAAUAGAUGCCUAACAAUCUCUCCCCUAUCUUGCAUUUAAAAAAAAAAAUCCUUGCCUUCUGGCUUAGAAUUUAUACUGAGUGGGUUCCAAAGCAGAAGAGUGGUAAGGUAUAGGCAAUGGGGGUGGGGGGUGG
rnacentral:lncRNA from 1 species